rnacentral:rRNA from 1 species
AUUGAACGCUGGCGGCAGGCCUAACACAUGCAAGUCGAGCGAGCGGCGGACGGGUGAGUACUGUCUGGGAAACUGCCUGAUGGAGGGGGGUAACUACUGGAAACGGGAUCUAAUACCGCAUACCAUCAGAUGUGCCCAGAUGUGAUUAGCGAGUAGGUGGGGUAACGGCUCACCUAGGCGACGAUCCCUAGAUGGUCUGAGAGGAUAACCAGCCACACUGGAACUGAGACACGGUCCAGACUCCUACGGGAGGCAGCAGUGGGGAAGAUUGCACAAUGGGCGCAAGCCUGAUGCAGCCAUGCCGCGUGUGUGAAGAAGGCCUUCGGGUUGUAAAGUACUUUCAGCGGGGAGGCGUUACCCGCAGAAGAAGCACCGGCUAACUCCGUGCCAGCAGCCGCGGUAAUUC